rnacentral:misc_RNA from 1 species
GAUGAAGAACGCAGUGAAAUGCGAUAAGUAAUGCGAAUUGCAGAAUUCCAGUGAGUCAUCGAAUCUUUGAACGCACAUUGCGCCCUUUGGUAUUCCGAAGGGCAUGCCUGUUCGAGCGCCAUUAUCACCCCUCAAGCCCUCGGCUUGGUGUUGGACGGUUUGGUGGAGGCCCCCUCGGGGGCUCCUGCCCCUCCCAAAGACAAUGACGGCGGCCUCGUUGGACCCCCGGUACACUGAGUUCUUCACGGGACACGUAUCGGACACAUGGGUUUACGGGACACGGUCUGCCUCCCCUCAGGGAGAAUCUUUCUAAGGUUGACCUCGGAUCAGGUAGGGAUACCCGCUGAACUUAAGCAUAUCAAUAAGCGGAGGA